rnacentral:rRNA from 1 species
AGAGUUUGAUCCUGGCUCAGAAUCAACGCUGGCGGCAUGCCUAACACAUGCAAGUCGAACGCGAAAGCGGGCUUCGGUCCGUGAGUAGAGUGGCAAACGGGUGAGUAACACGUGGGCGACCUGCCUUCGAGUGGGGGAUAACCUUCCGAAAGGAUGGCUAAUACCGCAUAACAUCCCGUGUUUGGAGACACGGUGAUCAAAGCUGGGGAUCGUAAGACCUGGCGCUUGAAGAGGGGCCCGCGUCCGAUUAGCUUGUUGGUGAGGUAACGGCUCACCAAGGCUUCGAUCGGUAGCCGGCCUGAGAGGGCGGACGGCCACACUGGGACUGAGACACGGCCCAGACUCCUACGGGAGGCAGCAGUGGGGAAUUGUUCGCAAUGGGCGAAAGCCUGACGACGCAAUGCCGCGUGGAGGACGACGACUUUCGGGUUGUAAACUCCUUUCGACUGAGAUGAAUUCCCGUCGACCUAAUACGUCGACGGGUUGACAGUAUCGAGGGAAGAAGCCCCGGCUAACUCCGUGCCAGCAGCCGCGGUAAUACGGGGGGGGCGAGCGUUGUUCGGAAUUACUGGGCGUAAAGGGUUCGUAGGUGGCCUAUCAAGUCAGACGUGAAAUCCCUCAGCUCACCCGAGGAACUGCGUCUGAAACUGGUGGGCUUGAGUGCAGGAGAGGGACGUGGAAUUCAGGUGUAGGCGUGAA